AGCGAACGUUUGCGGCGGGCCUAACACAUGCAAGUCGAACGCACUAGCAAUAGUGAGUGGCGCACGGGUGCGUAACACGUGGGUAAUCAACCCUUCAGCCUGGGAUAACGACUCGAAAGGGUCGCUAAUACCGGAUACGGCGCGAGAGGCUUCGGCUUCUCACGAGAAAGCCACGCAAGGGGCACUGAAGGACGAGCCUGCGGCCCAUCAGCUAGUUGGUGAGGUAAGAGCUCACCAAGGCUAAGACGGGUAGCUGGUCUGAGAGGAUGAUCAGCCACACUGGAACUGAGACACGGUCCAGACUCCUACGGGAGGCAGCAGUGGGGAAUAUUGCGCAAUGGGCGAAAGCCUGACGCAGCCACGCCGCGUGAGCGAUG
rnacentral:rRNA from 1 species